rnacentral:rRNA from 1 species
GUUUGAUCAUGGCUCAGGACGAACGCUGGCGGCGCGCUUAACACAUGCAAGUCGAGCGAGAACCAGGGCUUCGGCUGGACAGCGGCGAACGGGUGAGUAACACGUGGGUAAUCUGCCCUUGACAUCGGGAUAGCCCGGGGAAACCCGAUUAAUACCGAAUAGCCUCCGGAGCCUUCGGGCGCCGAGAAAAGGUAGCUUCGGCCUCUGGUCAAGGAUGAGCCCGCGGCGAUUAGCUUGUUGGCGGGGUAACGGCCCACCAAGGCGACGAUCCGUAGCUGGUCUGAGAGGACGAUCAGCCACACUGGGACUGAGACACGGCCCAGACUCCUACGGGAGGCAGCAGUGGGGAAUCUUGCGCUAAUGCGGGAAACGUGACGCAGCGACCCGCGUGGGGGAAGAAGGCUUCGGUUGUAAACUCUUUCAGGAGGGACGAAGCUACUCGGGUGAAUAGCCAGAGGUGACGGUACCUCCAGAAGAAGCCCGGCUAACUACGUGCCAGCAGCCGCGKUAAUACGUA